rnacentral:lncRNA from 1 species
UCAUAAGUGAUGCUGUUAUUUCACCCCCUCGUUGAAGCUCCUCGUCAUCCUUGAAAGUGUGGACUCCACUUUUACAUAGAGCAUCGUAAAGAUUGCCGGUAAAACCAUGGCGAGUGUCAGCUCCUCUGAAACUUAGGAACACGUUAUAGGUGAAUUUGGAGGAGGAUGAAGAAGAGGAGGAAGAUGAUUGUGGCAUAGCCAUGAGAAUAGAGGUAUGAGAAAUGAGAUAUGAGAAUUGAUAUGGUAUAUAUAUUAUAUGGUUGAAGUAGGAGAAGAAGUAUAGUCUUUGGAUCUACCAAAAAAAAAAAAAAAGAAGUAUAGUCUUUGGAAAAUUUAUGUCAUUGCAACUACUACAAUUGCAAAGUCAACCAACCAAGUGUGUCUACUUCUAAUAUACUCCUAGUAUACGGAGAGUUUUACUCAAAAGACUAGUUCAAUGUGAGAAAAUAUCAUGGCUUAAAUAUCACAUCAAACACUUUUAUAUACUCGAUAUGGGAUUUAUAACAUUAUCACGCCCUUUAUGAGCCGAUGUCCACUAUUAGCUGACGUCCAUGACCUUUGAUGGCUUCACUCACUUAUUAGUAUUCGGUGGAACACCUUAAUCCAACCUAUGGGUGAUCCUUUCUGUGGUCUAACUCUCAACGAGAGCACCAAUUGUUCGGAUUUAAAUUCAUGAAGAGAGCUCAACCCAAACACUUUUAUCUACUCGACGUGGGACUACAAAAAUUGAGCCAUAAAAUGUAAGUCGUGGAAAAUAAAAUUGUAUAUGUAUAAAUACCACUAUUAAAAUUUUAAAAUAGUUCUAAUGAUAAGACUUGUGAAAAGAAUCCAGUUCUCUUCUAAGAAUAUUCUCAAACUAUUUAACUAUGAAUGUGCAUGUUAAGAAUAGUCUCGAUAAUUUAGGUCAACUCAAAUAUUUUGAAUUAUGCUAUUUAUCCAACAAAAAUUACUCGCACCCCACUAAACUUUCUAAAAUACUCAUGUGUGAGUUAACUCACACAAGUGUAAAAAAACGUGACUUAAUUUUAACACAUACGUGAGUUAACUCACGCAGAGAUAUUUUGGAAAGUUCAGUUGAGUGUAAGUGAUUUUGUUAGGUAAAGAGCAGAAUUCAAAUAUUUUUUAAUGGGAGGAAGAAAGAAUACUAUUUGAGACAAUUCGUUUGCCCAUAUUUUGUUUGGGACAAGGCAAGUUGGUUGCAACUCGAAAUUACUGUGUCUGAAGGAGUCUUUGGGUUGGACUCAGUCUUGGUCACUCCUAAAAUGAAUACUUUAAACAAUACUUUCAAUAAUUGAAUUUUUUUAAG